CCGGCCCGGGGAGCGUUAGCGUUAGGUGCAGGCGGCUUUGGCUUUCGCCCUGGAUGCCGAGAGCGAGGAGGAGGAAGAGCUUUCUGCUGGAUGAGGAUCCGGAGGCCAGAAAGGAGACCUUCUCUCCCUUGAAAAACAAAGCACUUUGCCGACGCCAGGUCUCUUUGGAAGUGAGUGUGCAACACAGAGGACUUAAUAAUAUUUGUGUUUUUGUCCAACAUGGGCCGAAAAAAGGAUAAGCCACAGAAAAAUAUUAAGGGUUUAAUACAAAGUCUGGUUUUGCUGGAAGCAGUGAAUAUUCUGAAAUACCUGAAAAUUUUUGAAACAUAUAAGCUAUAAUUCUAAUAUAAAAAUGGAAAUAAAAUAAAUCUAUAAA